rnacentral:rRNA from 1 species
GAUGAACGCUGGCGGCGUGCUUAACACAUGCAAGUCGAACGAUUAACCGGGUGCUUGCACUCGGGGAUUAGUGGCGAACGGGUGAGUAACACGUGAGCAACCUGCCCCUGACUCUGGGAUAAGCGCUGGAAACGGCGUCUAAUACUGGAUAUGUCCCGUCACCGCAUGGUGUGCGGGUGGAAAGAUUUUUCGGUUGGGGAUGGACUCGCGGCCUAUCAGCUGGUUGGUGAGGUAACGGCUCACCAAGGCGACGACGGGUAGCCGGCCUGAGAGGGUGAUCGGCCACACUGGGACUGAGACACGGCCCAGACCCCUACGGGAGGCAGCAGUGGGGAAUAUUGCACAAUGGGCGCAAGCCUGAUGCAGCAACGCCGCGUGAGGGACGACGGCCUUCGGGUUGUAGACCUCUUUUAGUAGGGAAGAAGCGAAAGUGACGGUACCUGCAGAAAAAGCACCGGCUAACUACGUGCCAGCAGCCGCGGUAA